rnacentral:rRNA from 1 species
CGGCACCUACGGGGCGCAGCAGUGGGGAAUAUUGCACAAUGGGGGAAACCCUGAUGCAGCGACGCCGCGUGAGCGAUGAAGUAUUUCGGUAUGUAAAGCUCUAUCAGCAGGGAAGAAAAUGACGGUACCUGACUAAGAAGCCCCGGCUAACUACGUGCCAGCAGCCGCGGUAAUACGUAGGGGGCAAGCGUUAUCCGGAUUUACUGGGUGUAAAGGGCGUGCAGCCGGAGAGACAAGUCAGAUGUGAAAUCCACGAGCUCAACCCGUGAACUGCAUUUGAAACUGUUUCACUUGAGUGUCGGAGG